UCCGGCCUAGAUGGGGAUGGUCAGUCACCUGCCGUGAAUAGUCCCUGGUGGCUCUGCCGCAGCGUCUGUCACGCUGUGAUCUGCACUGGCCGGGGGAGUCAUAGGAAGGACGCAGGGGACCCGGGAGACUAGAAAUGGGGGUUCCAAGUUGGCAGUUUGGGAAAUUCUUGGCGGUUUUCCUUGACUUUGGGAGCAGGCAUACAGGAAUGAGGCCAUCAGUCCAUAUCUUGAGUGGAAUCCGUCUGUGUGUUUGGAGUGAAGGUCAAGAAUGACAGUUCUAACUUCCGUAACUGCAGCAUCAGAAGGUGGCAAUGCCUGAUCUAGAGUGGCUGGUCAGUAAACACUUCUUCUUGAAGUUGGGGAAUAGAGAUUUUAUGUACUUUUAGAGGAAACCACUGUUAAGUCCUUCACAAUUUUAUAAUCAUGGGCAAAUUUACCAUCAAAACGUUUUGGACUUCAAUGAACUCCCUUGCAAUCUGUAGUUUUUAGCCUGCCCCUCAAGCCCAACAAGUAUCAGACACACGGUUAGUAUUUGACCAGAAAGAGUUCUUAUGGCACAUUAUUGUCUCAGUAUGUGUUGUAUAAAUUGGUGGGAGGUAGCCUUGAGUCACUUGAGUAUAGAGAUUUUAUGGUCUAAGUUGUCAUGCCGCCUUCUUUUUGUCUGAGAACUAUCUUCCAAAUAAUAUUUGAGCCCAUCAAAUCAUACAGAGAGAGAAUGGAAGACCUGAGUCUACGAUGAAUAUUACACAAGUUAAAAGCAAUGAUUCUCCACAAGAAUAUUUACAUUCAGCCAGCUGCAUCUGAUUACCUGUAAUGAACUAGAGUACUCUAAGACAAUGUCUCCUGCUGGGCUUUGUUACAAGUUUGAUUUCUACAGGCCUCCUGGACUCUCUGUUUGAUGAUGAGACUAGAAAAGAAGGCUUCUAGUAGUUUAUUAUGUUUUCAUUUAUUGAAACGUCAUGCAGAUUUGACCCCCUGUCUCAUGAAGUGCUGUAAUUGGACUCAGUGGCUAUUGAGGAUGUGACUCUGAUCUUCACUGCAGAGGAGUGGGCUUUACUGGAUCCUUUACAGAAGAAACUCUACGGAGAUGUGAUGUGGGAAACUUUCAGGAACCUGGCCUCAAUAGGAAAAACAUGGGAAGAUCAUGAUAUUGAAGAUCAAUACAGGAACCAGGGGAGAAAACUGAGGUGCGGCACACUCAAAAUAGAAAGCAGCAUGUCACAUGAGAAUCCUGAUAUCUUAUGAAAUUUAAAA